GGAAGCUUUUCUCUUGUGAUGAGGGAGUCUGAGGAGCCCAUGUUUCAGGAUGCCUUUAGUGGGAAGCACUUCU
ensembl:miRNA